rnacentral:rRNA from 1 species
UACGUAGGGUGCGAGCGUUGUCCGGAAUUAUUGGGCGUAAAGGGCUCGUAGGCGGUUUGUCGCGUCGGGAGUGAAAACCAGGUGCUUAACACCUGGCUUGCUUUCGAUACGGGCAGACUAGAGGUAUUCAGGGGAGAACGGAAUUCCUGGUGUAGCGGUGAAAUGCGCAGAUAUCAGGAGGAACACCGGUGGCGAAGGCGGUUCUCUGGGCUGACACUGACGCUCAUGCACGAAAGCGUGGGGAGCAAACAGG